rnacentral:rRNA from 1 species
AUUGAACGCUGGCGGCAUGCUUUACACAUGCAAGUCGAGCGGCAGCGCGGGGGCAACCCUGGCGGCGAGCGGCGAACGGGUGAGUAAUGCAUCGGAACGUAUCCUCGAGUGGGGGAUAACCCAGCGAAAGUUGGGCUAAUACCGCAUGAGCUCUGAGGAGGAAAGCGGGGGAACUGCGGGGGCCUCGCGCUGGCGGAGCGGUCGAUGUCCGCUUAGGUAGUCGGUGGGGUAAAGGCUUACCAAGGCGACGAUCGGGAGCUGGUCUGAGAGGAUGAACAGCCCCACUGGGACGGAGACACGGCCCAGACUCCUACGGGAGGCAGCAGUGGGGAAUUUUGGACAAUGGGGGCAACCCUGAUCCAGCCAUGCCGCGUGAGUGAAGAAGGCCUUCGGGUUGUAAAGCUCUUUCGGACGGAACGAAAUGGGCGGGACUAAUACUCCUGUCUGAUGACGGUACCGUAAGAAGAAGCACCGGCUAACUACGUG